rnacentral:rRNA from 1 species
AUUGAACGCUGGCGGCAGGCCUAACACAUGCAAGUCGAACGGUAACAGGAAGCAGCUUGCUGCUUCGCUGACGAGUGGCGGACGGGUGAGUAAUGUCUGGGAAGCUGCCUGAUGGAGGGGGAUAACUACUGCAAACGGUAGCUAAUACCGCAUAAUGUCGCAAGACCAAAGAGGGGGACCUUCGGGCCUCUUGCCAUCGGAUGUGCCCAGAUGGGAUUAGCUUGUUGGUGGGGUAACGGCUCACCAAGGCGACGAUCCCUAGCUGGUCUGAGAGGAUGACCAGCCACACUGGAACUGAGACACGGUCCAGACUCCUACGGGAGGCAGCAGUGGGGAAUAUUGCACAAUGGGCGCAAGCCUGAUGCAGCCAUGCCGCGUGUAUGAAGAAGGCCUUCGGGUUGUAAAGUACUUUCAGCGGGGAGGAAGGGAGUAAAGUUAAUACCUUUGCUCAUUGACGUUACCCGCAGAAGAAGCACCGGCUAACUCCGUG